CUUUCGACACUCUCACGGCCUUUGAAAGCUGAGCUUGUUGAGUCCAAAAAUCUCCAUAAAUACUCUACUCUCCUUGAAAAUCCUGUUGCAAAAUCCCCACAACUGUUGCAGCUACAAUCCAUAUUGUUUUCGGUGAGUAUCACGCCUUUUGGCUCCAACCUUCUCAGAACUCUCAAGAACUCAGUUCUUUCAUCUGGUGUGUUGUGGUUUAAAUGAUGGAGUCUGAAUUGCGCACAAACUAUUAAUGCUUCGUCGGGUUUGGUGUCUAUUAUUCGUCCACUAAGUUUUUGUAAUGAGUGGUUAUCAAGCCUUUUGAUUUGCAAAUUGAUGUUCAUAGACUUGGCAAAACCUAGUAGUCUGGAGGAAAAAUUGUCUCCAGGUGGACCUAUUGAAAACGGGGUCUCAGUGGUUUGAUCAUUUUCAGAAGCGGCCGUGAUGACUGUGAUGCGUACUAGAGGAGGAGGUCCUCCAGGACGGCGAGUCAAGGCCUCAAGAAGUGUAGGCCACUGUACACCAUGGGAUACCCCAAUAUCAAGAACAUGAAGGUUUCGCCUAGGAUCUUGUUCCUGUGCAAGAACUUGAAGGAUAGAUGCAUUAGCAAUGUUGUGAGGGAAGGCAAACCAAGGACUCACCUCGUAGAAUUUGAGUAAAGAUUUUUGAAAGAACUUUGGCUCAGUAGAAGCAAAAGUAAUGGUUCCUGUAGAUGCUGAGGACAAGGUUGAUGAGGAUGAUAGGUGGUGAGUCAGUGCUCGAAGACCAUAAGCUGCUAGCCUGUGGUUAGCAUCGCCAGUUAAUGAGGCUAGCUCAUGGAGUACAUACAGAAGGUGCUGCACCCGUGACAUGUUUCCAAUAGGGAUAGCGGCUGCACAAGGAUUGAGUAACUGUUCUGCCCAUCUCCCUUCCUUGUUGUUACCGUUAUUGCCGUUAAUACCUGUACCCUUGUUGGUGGUUUUCUUAUUUCCAUUUGAUUUUUUCACUACUACCACUGCUUCACCAUCUUGCUGUUUCUUGUUUAUCCAAUUAUUUGGAUUCUUUCUCUGAUGAUGAUUCUGGGACGUUUUGGUAACCGGGUCUUCAGGAUCUUUCCGUUUCUUGUUUGAAGUGGUCGAUUGUGGGUGAUUAGAUAAGGUGGGAGUAAUUGGUGGUACUAGGCUAGUUGUAUUGAUAUUUGUGGUGGUGCUUGUGGUUAUGCUGCUGCUGAGACUAGCGUUGGUGUUGACUAGAUCCUGGUAAAACUCUUCUGCUUGAUCCCACCAUUGAUAGGGAUUGGUAUCGGCUGUGCUGUACGGAUCAUCAAAGAAAGAUGGCACGAACGAUACUGAAUCCUCUAGCCAAUCCAAUACGUGAUCUGAUGUAUGGCUUGGCUCUGAUUCUUCAAUGGUCAUUUUCUGCUUGACACAGGAUGGAAAAGGUGCAAUGGAACAGAGGACAGAUCUCGUAGACUUAAUUUCUCUUUCUGGAAGGAGACGGUAGAGAGCAUAUUCUAUAGGGUUCGGAGCAGUUCAUUUGGAGGUUGUGAUGUUUUAUUUAAGCCAUAGGAGAUAGAGAUUAGUGAUGUUUUAUUUAAGCCAUAGGAGAUAGAGAUUACAGAACAUGAACUCUUGUUUUGUUUUUGUUAUUAACUUAUUCUCUUGUUAUGUCAGAGUGGUUGAGAUCUAUGCAACGAUGAUGUUCGCAGAAAGAGCCUUGGGGAAUUGUGAUUGGUGUUGACAUUUGGAUUCUCAAGAGACGGCAAACUCUGUCUUUGCUAAUUUAAAAUUGCAAUUUCAUGUUUGGUUCUGUUUUGUACCAUUUGUGGUAUGGUUUUGUCUCUGGAUUGAAAUAGACCUAUCCACUACAACCAAGUUUCUAGUUUUGGACUGCCAUGGAAGAUACCCCAUUGUUGCUUAGAAUUUGUUAAGAGCCCUCUUGUUCUAUGACUGGAGCCCGCCCAAAGUGGAAUGAACCUCGACCAAAUCAAUUCUCAGUUUUGACUCUUCCAUUGUUGCUUUGUUAUUUUCAGGUAAAUAGUAACACCUGCUGUCUGUAAUCAAAUCCUUUCUUUUUUAUUUUAUUCCAAUUUUUGUUGCCUGAGGUUCUCGAAUAAAACUAAACAUUGCAAGAAACUUCAAAUGAUCGUAAUUUUCCUUUUUCUGAUGAACAGCUUUCAUUUCUUUUUUCUUACCAGGCUGAAAGAACAGAUGAUGUCAGGUCUUGUGAUCAAUUAGCAUUUCUGUAAAAGAUAUAUGUUUGAGCAGCAUACUCUAAAUGUGUUGUAUUCAUCAGGAACUCUCAAAACCCGGACAUUUUUUCGUUGUUUUGAGU
rnacentral:lncRNA from 1 species